rnacentral:rRNA from 1 species
CCUACGGGUGGCAGCAGUGAGGAAUAUUGGUCAAUGGCCGGAAGGCUGAACCAGCCAUGCCGCGUGAAGGUCAGUGCCCUAUGGGCGUUAAACUUCUUUUGUGCGGGAGCAAUAAUGGUCACGUGUGGCCAGACGAGAGUACCGUACGAAUAAGCAUCGGCUAACUCCGUGCCAGCAGCCGCGGUAAUACGGGGGAUGCAAGCGUUAUCCGGAUUUAUUGGGUUUAAAGGGUGCGUAGGCUGUGAGGUAAGUCAGCGGUGAAAUGCCCCCGCUCAACGGGGUGAAGUGCCAUUGAUACUGCCUGGCUGGAAUGCGGAUGCCGUGGGAGGAAUGUGUGGUGUAGCGGUGAAAUGCAUAGAUAUCACACAGAACACCGAUUGCGAAGGCAUCUCACGAAUCCGCGAUUGACGCUGAUGCACGAAAGCGUGGGUAUCAAACGGGAUUAGAUACCCUAGUAGUC